GCUGUGACACAUGCCUGUAAUCCCAGUGUCAUGAGGAUCUCAGGUUCAAAGUCAGCCUUAGCAACUUAGCGAGACCCUGUGUUAGAAAUACCGGGGAGCUGUGACAAGACAAUUUUUACUUCUGUAGUAGGGUGUGCUGCCAUUUUUGUUACAUAUUAGGAAACUCAGACACAGAUUUAACUUUGUCAGAAAAGAGAACAUUAAUCUUACACCUGUCUCAAAAGAUAUAAAGGUCUGGAGAGGUAGAUGGACACAAUACAUUUAUUUAUUUAUUUUUAUAUGGUGCUGAGGAUCCAACCCAGUGCCUCCCAUGUGCUAGACAAGCUCUCUACCAUUGAGCCACAACGUCAGCCCAAGGCCACAGUAUUUUUGUCCCUCUGAGUUUGGUUGCUACCCUCCUUGGAAGUCCUCUGUUCUGGAGGGCCCAGGUGAGCUCGAGGAUUGGAGUUGCAGGUAAUAAAACACUAACAGCAGCUGCAGUGGCACCAGCACCGGCACUUCAGUGCUCUCCGCCUGCUCAGUGAAUCCAUCUGUGCAAAAAGCCUUCCCUCCACCAUCACCCCUCAUCCCCAGUCCAGAUGCUCCCUCUUGGCACCAGAAUCUGGGGGAUCUCCCAGUUCCAUUCCAUAGCCAAGACAGAGGGCCAAAAAGGACACUCUGCCUGCUGGGCCACACAUCUGCGCCCUCACCCCCACUCUGCCUAGGGAGUGUCCAGGGGGAGCCACAGGGAGUGUCCACAGCUCUGACUUGGUUCCCCCUCUGCCUGCCAAGCCAUCCCCAACCACCACCCUUUAGUGGGUCCUCUGCCUUUUAGCCCGAAGAGGGCUGCUGCUGAUUCUGUGUCCCAGCCUAUCUAUCCAAUGGAAACAUCACCCCAUUCAAGACAUUAGACAUAUCCAUCCUUUCCAAUGGAAUCUUUCUCUGUUUGUUUUACUUCUCCCCUGCAUCCUACCACCCUCCUGGUGGACCUCUGAUCUAUGUUUCACAUGACAUAGAAACUUCCAGAUGGUUAUAUUGUUUUUCUGGAUUCUGUAAAUCAGUGUGCUCAUCUUGAGAUGAUCACAUUGCCCUUCUAGACAAUGGCCCUUGCUGCCUUCACCAUCAAGGACUCUACCUUCUUAAAUAGAUGGACACCACAGACACACUCUGCCAGCUGUCAUCUAUUUCCAGAUAAUGGCACCCCUCCUGGCUCUCUGGCAGUUCACAUCAUUUUUUCGUUGAGUUAAAGGUUGCCAGCACAGAGAUUUGCCUUUGCCCUUAUUCUGCAUCUUUAAAGUAAGUGGCAGGAGUUAGUUAUACUUUUGAAUCAUGGCAAUAUCCCAUAGCAAACUUCGGGACUAAGGCACCAUGUCUUGGAAAGAUUUCUCAGGAUGAUUGCCCAUGUCAUGGCACCAGGCUUUCACUGAGAAUCAGGUCUCCCUGCAGCAGUGACAGACAGUCACGAUGCCUUGCUCACCCUCCUGGGUUGAGUUGGGAUGUGUCGGUCAGCCUGAUGCUGGCACAUUGCAGUGAAAUGGGUGUUCACCAGCUCAGGUGUCAAGUAGAUGCUAUUGUAUAUCAAAUGACUUGUUUCCUGGUGAGCAGAAAUACAGAGCUGAGAGGAAAGGCUUGAAGUGGCAGAGGACCUGCCAGCAACCUAGGGUGACUUGUGUUUCUCCCCCAAUGGGAGGCUUCCUCUCCACUGAUUGUGUCUGUGGGUCUGUGCAUUUACAGGAAAGCUGGGAGGAGGGACCUUCCAGUUAUGGCCUUAGAAUUCAUGCUUGGUGGGAAGGUAAUACUUUUUUUUUUUUUUUUGGUACUGGGGAUUGAACUCAGGAGCACUCAACCACUGAACCACAUCCCCAGCCCUUUUUUGUAUUUUAUUUAGAAUCAAGGUCUCACUGAAUUGCUUAGGGACUCACUAAAUUGCUGAGGCUCGCUUUCAACUCUUAAUCCUCCUGCCUCAGCCUCCCAAACUGCUGGGAUUACAGGUUCCAAGUUGCUUGGAUUACAGGUGUGUGUCACCACGCCUGACCGGUAAUACAUUAAUUUUCAGGGGCCGUUGGGUCAUUUGUAUUUGUUUCCAUCCCAGGAAGCUGAAAAUGAAGGAACAUAAGUAGGUGGAAUCCCCAAAGCAACUAACUCUCAGAGGCAGAGCAGAAACCGGGGUUGACUACUAAGGAAAUAGGGAGCUAUGAGUGAAUUUCGAGACUGAACACCAGCCUCAUGGGAAACCCCUGACACAGGUUUUCUGGUAAACCUUUGUGCAGUCUUUAGACCCAAUUAUGGAAGAUAUGGGAACAAAAGUUUGGAGGAAAUAUAUACAGAGAGAGAAUUCACACAAGACUAGACAACCUUCAUUUAUGUUUACAAAUCUGAAAGUUACUGCACAUUUCUUGAUCAUUGUGGUGGGCAGACUGGGAGGAGCCUCGGAUCACAAACAUUUCUGGGAACCGUGCAAACAGUGACCAUGAUUAGGAAAGCUGUUUAGUGGAAGAUGAAUCACAUGCACAAAAAGGAGGAUGCUGUUUUUAUAUUUUUUAUGUUAAGAUAACGUGUGUGUCAGUUGUGAGGAUGAGGGGACCAUGGGAAGAUGCUUUAAAAUGGUGUCAAGGAUCCGUGUGCAGAGUUGCUAAGGGUGAAACUUUCCAUUGACUUUGCUCACUUCUGGCCGGGGCGCGGGAGGGUGCGGGUCGUGGGCGGAGAAAAGCUAGCGGCUCGGGCGACGGGGG
rnacentral:lncRNA from 1 species